AUUGAACGCUGGCGGCAGGCCUAACACAUGCAAGUCGAGCGGCAGCGGGAAAGUAGCUUGCUACUUUUGCCGGCGAGCGGCGGACGGGUGAGUAAUGCCUGGGAAAUUGCCCAGUCGAGGGGGAUAACAGUUGGAAACGACUGCUAAUACCGCAUACGCCCUACGGGGGAAAGCAGGGGACCUUCGGGCCUUGCGCGAUUGGAUAUGCCCAGGUGGGAUUAGCUAGUUGGUGAGGUAAUGGCACACCAAGGCGACGAUCCCCAGCUGGUCUGGGAGGCUGAUCAGCCACACUGGAAGUGAAACACGGUCGAGACUCCUACGGGAGGCAGCAGUGGGGAAUAUUGUACAAUGGGGGAAACCCUGAUGCAGCCAUGCCGCGUGUGUGAAGAAGGCCUUCGGGUUGUAAAGCACUUUCAGCGAGGAGGAAAGGUUGAUGCCUAAUACGUAUCAACUGUGACGUUACUCGCAGAAGAAGCACCGGCUAACUCCGUGCCAGCAGCCGCCGUAA
rnacentral:rRNA from 1 species